AGGUCUUUGAAAUGCUUUACAUUUGAGAAUGAAGCUCAGUUGAAGUUUGAACAGCAUACUGACAUAUACCAACACGAAUGAAAAUAACUUAACAGCAAUUUUAUAAAUUCACAUCCCCCAGAGCACCACAGAGUAAAGAAAUACUGCAUAUGGGUAACAACUGGUUCUUAGUUACUAAAUCUGAAAGAUCAAAUAAAGUUAAUCACAUAAGAUCCUCUAUAGACUGUUGAUGUAUAGCCAUGAGAAAAAAAAAAGAAAAAUUUUUGCUGUCAAUGAGCUUGCAUUUAAGCAUCUGUAAAAGGUGAGAUUAAUAUUUACUCAGUGAACUUUGAGUAAAGCAUUGGUUGCUUCGUUAUGUGGAUGAGUCUCAUCCAAUCAGUUGAAGGUGACUGAAUGGAACCAUAGAUCGACCUCACAUAAGUGAGAGGGAAUUCUGCAACAGAUCGUCUUUGCCUUUGAACUGCAGCAUGGACUCCCCUCUGGGUCUCCUGCCUGCCAGCCCACCCUGCAGAGUUUGCAUUUGCCAGCCUUCACAAUCAGGUAAUUUAUCCUGUGCAUUAGCAAGAGGAAGUCUACAGCCAUGGAAACCAAGUCAGGAAACUUCUCUCUUAUUAUUAGGUCCACUGCAAAUCUAGUUGAGACUGCAAAUCGAGGUUUUUCUCAGGGGAAGCCGAGCUCCAGACUAUUCAUUUGUCCUGAAGCAGCCACCUGAAACACAAUCAUUUUGUAUUUCUACGAUGUUUUGACCUUUUAUCCAAGUCAGCCCUAUAGAAUGGGCCAAGAGGUUGCUGCCACUGAAUAAGCCACUGUGAUUUUUUAGCGUCAAGAAUUUUGCUGUUAACUAUGGCAGAAAAAUAGACAGAGGGUAAUAAAAAUAACUAACAUAGACAAAUUGC